rnacentral:tRNA from 1 species
GCCCGGGUGGCGGAAUUGGUAGACGCGCUAGAUUCAGGAUCUAGUGGCCGCAAGGCCGUGCUGGUUCGACUCCAGUCCCGGGCACCA